rnacentral:ncRNA from 1 species
UCCAAUGAUUUCCUCCGAUCCAUCAAUUCCCUCCGGGAUAGAUGGACGAUAGGGCAUGAGAGGCAACUUUCAUCGCCUGCCGUUUUGCAAAGGAGGGCCACCCGUUCAAAC